AACGCACCUUGCGCUCCUUGGUAUUCCGAGGAGCAUGCCUGUUUGAGUGUCGUGAAAUCAUCAACUCCCUUAGCUUUGUUGCGACGGUGAGCUUGGAUUUGGGGAUUUGCUGGCCUUCGGGUUCUGGCUUCCCUUGAAUGCAUUAGUGUGAAUGUUUACCGAGCAUUUUCUCAGUGUGAUAAUUAUCUACGCUGUGGCUUGCUUGGAUCUUAUAAAUUUCAUGCUUCAAACCGUCUGCAUUAGUGGACAAUUUAUUUGACAAUCUGACCUCAAAUCAGGUAGGACUACCCGCUGAACUUAA
rnacentral:rRNA from 1 species